AACCAGUACCGUGAGGGAAAGGCGAAAAGAACCCCGGCGAGGGGAGUGAAAAAGAACCUGAAACCGUGUACGUACAAGCAGUGGGAGCCCCACCACUAAGCCAGUGGUGAACUCCACAUACGCAUCCUUUGCUGAGGAUACGGUUAACGGAGCGAAAGCGACGUUCAACCGCAAAAGAAGCAGAGGGGGCUUAGUGGUGGGGUGACUGCGUACCUUUUGUAUAAUGGGUCAGCGACUUAUAUUCUGUAGCAAGGUUAACCGAAUAGGGGAGCCGGAGG
rnacentral:rRNA from 1 species